CUCAGUCGGUUGAGCGUCUGACUUCGGCUCAGGUCAUGAUCUCGAGGUUCGUGCGUUCCAGCCCCAUGUCGGGUUCGGUGCUGACAGCUCAGAGCCUGGAGCCUGCUUCGGAUUCUGUGUCUCCCUCUCUCUCUGCCCCACUUGCGCUCGCUCUCUCUCUCUCUCUCUC